AUAAUGGGUCAGCGACUUAUAUUCUGUAGCAAGGUUAACCGAAUAGGGGAGCCGAAGGGAAACCGAGUCUUAACUGGGCGUUAAGUUGCAGGGUAUAGACCCGAAACCCGGUGAUCUAGCCAUGGGCAGGUUGAAGGUUGGGUAACACUAACUGGAGGACCGAACCGACUAAUGUUGAAAAAUUAGCGGAUGACUUGUGGCUGGGGGUGAAAGGCCAAUCAAACCGGGAGAUAGCUGGUUCUCCCCGAAAGCUAUUUAGGUAGCGCCUCGUGAAUUCAUCUCCGGGGGUAGAGCACUGUUUCGGCAAGGGGGUCAUCCCGACUUACCAACCCGAUGCAAACUGCGAAUACCGGAGAAUGUUAUCACGGGAGACACACGGCGGGUGCUAACGUCCGUCGUGAAGAGGGAAACAACCCAGACCGCCAGCUAAGGUCCCAAAGUCAUGGUUAAGUGGGAAACGAUGUGGGAAGGCCCAGACAGCCAGGAUGUUGGCUUAGAAGCAGCCAUCAUUUAAAGAAAGCGUAAUAGCUCACUGGUCGAGUCGGCCUGCGCGGAAGAUGUAACGGGGCUAAACCAUGCACCGAAGCUGCGGCAGCGACGCUGAUGCGUUGUUGGGUAGGGGAGCGUUCUGUAAGCCUGCGAAGGUGUGCUGUGAGGCAUGCUGGAGGUAUCAGAAGUGCGAAUGCUGACAUAAGUAACGAUAAAGCGGGUGAAAAGCCCGCUCGCCGGAAGACCAAGGGUUCCUGUCCAACGUUAAUCGGGGCAGGGUGAGUCGACCCCUAAGGCGAGGCCGAAAGGCGUAGUCGAUGGGAAACAGGUUAAUAUUCCUGUACUUGGUGUUACUGCGAAGGGGGGACGGAGAAGGCUAUGUUGGCCGGGCGACGGUUGUCCCGGUUUAAGCGUGUAGGCUGGUUUUCCAGGCAAAUCCGGAAAAUCAAGGCUGAGGCGUGAUGACGAGGCACUACGGUGCUGAAGCAACAAAUGCCCUGCUUCCAGGAAAAGCCUCUAAGCAUCAGGUAACAUCAAAUCGUACCCCAAACCGACACAGGUGGUCAGGUAGAGAAUACCAAGGCGCUUGAGAGAACUCGGGUGAAGGAACUAGGCAAAAUGGUGCCGUAACUUCGGGAGAAGGCACGCUGAUAUGUAGGUGAAGUCCCUCGCGGAUGGAGCUGAAAUCAGUCGAAGAUACCAGCUGGCUGCAACUGUUUAUUAAAAACACAGCACUGUGCAAACACGAAAGUGGACGUAUACGGUGUGACGCCUGCCCGGUGCCGGAAGGUUAAUUGAUGGGGUCAGCGCAAGCGAAGCUCUUGAUCGAAGCCCCGGUAAACGGCGGCCGUAACUAUAACGGUCCUAAGGUAGCGAAAUUCCUUGUCGGGUAAGUUCCGACCUGCACGAAUGGCGUAAUGAUGGCCAGGCUGUCUCCACCCGAGACUCAGUGAAAUUGAACUCGCUGUGAAGAUGCAGUGUACCCGCGGCAAGACGGAAAGACCCCGUGAACCUUUACUAUAGCUUGACACUGAACAUUGAGCCUUGAUGUGUAGGAUAGGUGGGAGGCUUUGAAGUGUGGACGCCAGUCUGCAUGGAGCCGACCUUGAAAUACCACCCUUUAAUGUUUGAUGUUCUAACGUUGACCCGUAAUCCGGGUUGCGGACAGUGUCUGGUGGGUAGUUUGACUGGGGCGGUCUCCUCCUAAAGAGUAACGGAGGAGCACGAAGGUUGGCUAAUCCUGGUCGGACAUCAGGAGGUUAGUGCAAUGGCAUAAGCCAGCUUGACUGCGAGCGUGACGGCGCGAGCAGGUGCGAAAGCAGGUCAUAGUGAUCCGGUGGUUCUGAAUGGAAGGGCCAUCGCUCAACGGAUAAAAGGUACUCCGGGGAUAACAGGCUGAUACCGCCCAAGAGUUCAUAUCGACGGCGGUGUUUGGCACCUCGAUGUCGGCUCAUCACAUCCUGGGGCUGAAGUAGGUCCCAAGGGUAUGGCUGUUCGCCAUUUAAAGUGGUACGCGAGCUGGGUUUAGAACGUCGUGAGACAGUUCGGUCCCUAUCUGCCGUGGGCGCUGGAGAACUGAGGGGGGCUGCUCCUAGUACGAGAGGACCGGAGUGGACGCAUCACUGGUGUUCGGGUUGUCAUGCCAAUGGCACUGCCCGGUAGCUAAAUGCGGAAGAGAUAAGUGCUGAAAGCAUCUAAGCACGAAACUUGCC
rnacentral:rRNA from 1 species